GACGAACGCUGGCGGCGUGCUUAACACAUGCAAGUCGAACGGUAAGGCCCUUCGGGGUACACGAGUGGCGAACGGGUGAGUAACACGUGGGUGAUCUGCCCUGCACUUCGGGAUAAGCCUGGGAAACUGGGUCUAAUGCCGGAUAGGACCACUGCCUGCAUGGGUGGUGGUGGAAAGCUUUUGCGGUGUGGGAUGGGCCCGCGGCCUAUCAGCUUGUUGGUGGGGUGAUGGCCUACCAAGGCGACGACGGGUAGCCGGCCUGAGAGGGUGACCGGCCACACGGGGACUGAGAUACGGCCCAGACUCCUACGGGAGGCAGCAGUGGGGAAUAUUGCACAAUGGGCGCAAGCCUGAUGCAGCGACGCCGCGUGAGGGAUGACGGCCUUCGGGUUGUAAACCUCUUUCAGCACCGACGAAGCGCAAGUGACGGUAGGUGCAGAAGAAGGACCGGCCAACUACGUGCCAGCAGCCGCCGCCG
rnacentral:rRNA from 1 species